rnacentral:rRNA from 1 species
AACGAACGCUGGCGGCAUGCCUAACACAUGCAAGUCGAACGAUGCUUUCGGGCAUAGUGGCGCACGGGUGCGUAACGCGUGGGAAUCUGCCCUUGGUUCGGAAUAACAGUUAGAAAUGACUGCUAAUACCGGAUGACGACGUAAGUCCAAAGAUUUAUCGCCGAGGGAUGAGCCCGCGUAGGAUUAGCUAGUUGGUGUGGUAAAGGCGCACCAAGGCGACGAUCCUUAGCUGGUCUGAGAGGAUGAUCAGCCACACUGGGACUGAGACACGGCCCAGACUCCUACGGGAGGCAGCAGUGGGGAAUAUUGGACAAUGGGCGCAAGCCUGAUCCAGCAAUGCCGCGUGAGUGAUGAAGGCCUUAGGGUUGUAAAGCUCUUUACCGUGAUGAUAAUGACAGUAGCGGGAGAAUAAGACCCGGCUAACUCCGUGCC